ensembl:lncRNA
UUUUUUUUUUUUUUUUUUUUUUGAGACAGAGUCUCGCUCAGUUGCCCAGGCCGGAGUGCAGUGGUGCAGUCUUGGCUCACUGCAAUCUCCGCCUCCUGGGCUCAAGCUAUUCUCCUGCCUCAGCCUCCCGAGUAGCUGGGAUUAUAGGCGCCUGCAACCCACACCUGGCUAAUUUAUAUAUUUUUAGUAGAGACAGGGUUUUGCCAUGUUGGCCAGGCUGUUCUUGAACUCCUGACUUCAGGUGAUCUGCCCACUUCAGCCUCCCAAAGUGUUGGGAUUACAGGUGCGAGCCACUGUGCCUGGCCACAGGUUUGGCUUUACCUGGCCUUUAUUCAAGAUAGGGUCACUAGUUAGGAUACUUCUGGCAGAUUUAGCAUGAUUGUUAUCUGAAAGCUGUCUAUCACACUGCAGUGAGGAAGGGUGUUGAACAGCGACUAAGGUGUAAUGGCUGCUUAUUUGGCUACAGAGGUCCAGCUAGCAGCAAAAGUGUAAUGGCUUGAGUAGGAAUUACAGUUAGGAAAAGGAUUUUUAAAGAGCUCUAUAGUCAAAAGUUGAGUUAAUAAAAACUGGUAUUUACUCUAUAUACAUAUGCAUAUGCAUGGUUUUAAGAUCUCCUCUCUCUGUAAUACAAACAGUCAGAUGAAUUCUGUUUCUCCGUUUACUUCUGCCUGUCCUUCCUCUUGCCACUCCAAAUGUCACAUGAGGGGACUUAAAAAAAAAAAAAGAAUUCUAACAAUUCUAGCCUAGAAUCACAGAAAACAGAAAAGUUGGCACAGUCUCCUCCUUUUGGGAGGAAACUGCUUUUCUCAUGAGGCCCUCAGUUGUAAGCAGAGAGAUUCCUCUCAGGUCUAGCACUCUGCUCUUUUUUGUAUUGCAUUACUUGAUCUCCUUGACUGGGGGAUACCAGAGAUUACACUGUACUAUGAGAGAACUUCACUAGGUGGAUGUAAUUGCUGGUGAGUCACUGGCAAGAGCUAUGGUUUUAGAGGGCUGACAGCAGUCGCUUAUAGCAAAUGUUUAUUACUCUAGAGAGUUGCUUAUUUCUUUGGGUGUUUGGAUAGAAAAAGCAUGGUUUAGAACGUAGAGGCUACAGAAACACCCCCCAGCCACUCCACUGAGGGGUAAGACACCCAUGUGGGAUGCAGUAAUCAUAGUGUGUGCUAACUGGCAUAGGAUCGCCCACCAACCUCAAAGGAAUGUCCUUCUACUGAGGUGCACUGUGGGAUCAUUGAACUGCCCAGUCCUCUGGCAGUUCCUUUCUUUUGGGGGCUCAGAAUUCAGUGUUAAAAUGGGAUUCUUGAUUUGGGAGGAUCUAAGUGUUAUGCCUUCCAGCUGUUAAUGCUUUGCACAUAUUUAAAUAUUAAGCCUUAAAAACUGCAUGCUUUCUUUCUUUAUUAAGUGGCUCCACCCUGAAGCCAGUAAUCUAAUUAAUAAACAAACUAAGUUAAAAAGCCCACCUAUCCAACUAAAUCCAUCUCCAAAAUGUGCAACUUUCUGACAUUUAGCUGGCUGGUUUGCUGCUCUUUGUAAAAACAAACAAAAAAAAAACCAAUUCAGGAAUGCUUUUCUCCAGGACCUGGGAACAAUGUAUUUGAAAUGUAAAUAUGAAAAAAGAUAGUACCCUAUCUCACAAUUUUGCAGUAAGAUAGGAGCCUAAUUUAAUCAGGCACUUAGUUCCAAGUUGCAAAACAAUUUUCUGUCACAAAGGUUAGUUUAUUUUUCCCCUUUUUUUUUUUUUUUUUUUUUUUUUGAGACAGUCUCGAUCUGUCACUCAGGCUGGAGUGCAGUGGUGCAGUCUGGGCUCACUGCAAGCUCCGCCUUCUGGGUUCAGGCCAUUCUCCUACCUCAGCCUCCUGAGUAGCUGGGACUGCAGGCGCCCGGCUAAUUUUUUGUAUUUUAAGUACAGACGGGGUUUCACCGUGUUAGCCAGGAUGGUCUCGAUCUCCUGACCUUGUGAUCCGCACACCUCGGCCUUCCAAAGUGCUGAGAUUACAGGCAUGAGCCACCGCGCCUGGCCUAUUUUUCCUUUUAAUAAAGCCAAUUAUCAAACCUAGAUCAUCUUUCUCGUUACCAGGUGAAUUUAGGAUAAACUGCCAAAUGGUGCUGUCAAAUUUUCCUGCUUGGGGGCUAUUAAUCUUGACAACAUGUAUGUUUUAUAACUCAAUUAAACCAGACUGUGAUGUUUAAACACUACAUGUUUUGCUUCUGAUGUACAUCACAUUCUGGUUUGAGUUUUAAAACAGUUUUAUCUCUUUUCUACCUUUGUGGAGAGGCAUUCUAGGUUGGGAGGCAAUGUUGUUUUAAUUAUAUUUCCCAAGCACUGUUCAGAAUUACAAGAUCAAAUAUAAACAUAAAAGAUCAGGCUUCGUACUAGAAGGGACUUUGGCAGAUACCCGUCAAAUUUUCUCACAGGCUUUCUUCCCCCAAGCCACAAUAGUUCAGUGAAGAUCUUGCCUGCCCUCAAAAUCUGAAUGCAGUAUGAUCUCGCUGCCUAUUUUGGGCUCUGCAGUUUCGUCUGGGGCACAGUUAGAAAAGAUUUGUAAUAGAAUAACCUCAUAAAGUGGCAAUCAUCAGUUCCAGCCCUGUCUUUCAGUGCACCUGGUGACUUUAUAACAGAAAUGAAUUCAGAGAACUUGGGGCCUGGAAGCCCAAUCAGACAUGUACAUGUGCAUUGAGUUGGCCUCUUCCACUUCCCCGUCUCUCUAGGGACCUAAAUCUGCACCAUUAAAUUUUGAAUGCAGGAUCUGGGGCUCUUCAGAAUGCUCUAUAGCAGCCUUCCUGGGAGGAAUCUCUUCUCCAACUUGUCUCUUCUUGCUGUAAAACCCAAGAAUACAGAACAGAUGCGAUCCCUCAUAGAAUUUGCACACAAAGGGAAUUUGCCUCCCCCUGAGAUUCAUAAAACAGGGCCAGCCUUCAGUCUGAGGAUUACAGAAAGUCCAGGGCAGACCUUUCUUGUAUCAUGAGAGAUCAAUACAGACCCUAUAAAGCAGGAGGAUGGCUCAGGGUGGGGCCUGUAGAAUCUUUUAGAUCUUGUUCAUUGACCUGCUGCCAUUGUGUGAGGGGCUUCUAGUGGUCAAUGCAGAAUCUAUAAGUGUAAACAAGCAUUAACAUCAAAACUACCACUUUCAGGGACACCAGAACCUGCUUUGUUUAGAAUGUUAAAUGUAUCUUUUCCAAAAAAUUGACCAGCUUAUCUAAUCAAAAUAUUAUAACUGUACAUUAAACCUCACAUAGAAAGAUGUUAAAAUUCUGUUAAACUUUCUGGAAUUUUGUUUAUCUAAAUGAUCUUAAAAUUCUACACUUUGGAAUGCUGACUUCCAUUCUUUAAAAGCUGUGCUUUUCUAGGCGGCCUAUCCUAAAUGUUUGUAUUUAAAUAAAGUCUUUUAAACUUACUUUCUAAUCUUUUUGAUUAUCUUAGGUUGACACAACUAUAGUCACCAUGUUGUGAAAGAAAUCUCAAAAACAUAUUCCUCUUUUGGGUGUCUCAUAAACGGUUUAGCCACAGAGUCAAGGAGAGAACACUGGAGUGUCUGAGAACAUGGGUCUUGACUAAUUUUAAUCAGUGUUCCUGGGCACAGAGGACAUACCCUCCAUUUCAUUCCUGAUGCAAUAUUUGAUGUAGUUCAUAGUACUAUAAUCUUGUUACUGUGAUACACCAAAAUAUGAGGUUAAAAGACCUUUAAAUCUUUUAGGAAGAAAAAGUGUUCUAUGUUCCUCAUCUUUUUGGGUUUUGUGGUCAGAAACAUGCACUGGCAGACAGGAUUUUUAAAGUUUCCAGUAAUUUGUAGCUCAGGAUUUGUGUCCAGUGUUUUUCUAUCUCCUACCUCUGCAGCUGCCUUCUCUGACUCAUGUUUUUCUCACAUGAGCUGAGAAUAAAAUGUCUUCAGAUUGGGAGUGUCCAUGAUUUCCGAUGUAUCUUACUCUGUUUAAUGAAUAGUAUAUGCAUUUCAGUUGUUUGAUGGCAUCUAAAAUAUCCUAAUUCUUAUCUUGCCAUUUGUGCAUUUUACACAAAUAUUUAAUAAAACUGUUAUUAGCCAGGAAGGGCAAUUCCCUUUUCUGAUAUUGCUAGCUGUGUUUCUUGGGUUGCCACUAUUGCCACUGAAUGAAAAAAACCUUUCCUUCACCAAACCAGGUAAUUUGCAGCUCUCAUAAUCGCUUCGUGCUGUUGAUGAGCAGUCAUAUGUUUUUCAAUGCUAUUUACAAAGUAUGGUAAAAUUGAUGAGGAAUAUGCUUUUGAUUGUUAUACUAAUAAAACAGGAUAUUUUGUGAUUAUAUAGCUACACUUAAAUAUGUCAGGAAGAAUGCAAGUAAUUAUUAAAAUAAUAUUGUUAAUAAAAUGAUGUAGAAUUCCAAAUCCUGGCUCAUGAAUCUGAUGUACAGCUGAGGCCAAACAGUGUCACUGGUGCUUGGAGAUAGAGGAACGUUUAUUCAGUGGGGCCAAAGUAAGAAUGUAGGACAGAAAAUUUCUCAAAUCCAUCAACAAAGCAACAUCAGGGGAUAUUUAUUCAGCCAGAAGAUAAGGAAAGGGGAGUUUAAGGGAAUUGAGGGGAAAAGUGUGUAUUUCUUCAGUCUCAGAUAACAUCUUGACCAACAAGACUUCUCGGUGUCAACAGCUGGUAACAAUGUCCUUCAAGGCAUGUAUUUCUUCUGCAAAAUGUUUCUGUGACCCUUGUGCUUGACAAAGAAAAUUAUCUCCUCCUGCUUGACAGAGAACAGUAUAUCAACCAUUUAUAAUUGUAUUGUAGAAACAAGGGAUGCUGGCUUUUGUGCAAGCAAGCAAGGGUUUAAUUAGAAAUUUCAUUAUUUCAGUCGCUAAAAAUGCCGGGGUGCUGAAAUCUCAAGGGGCUUGGUUAUAAUAAUACAACACUAAGCAAUAGAUAUUAUUAUAAAACUGAGGAAAUAAGUCUUAUAAAACUUUAUUUUUGUCUAACAUUCUGUAAUGCAAAAUAACAUUGGUUUUGGAAAUGGCUUCUUUCUUUGAAGACCUUAUUUAUUUAUUUUUUUUUUCAGAUAUUUGAUCUAAGCACAUAGAUUUUAUGAUUAGUUUUUAGUUCCUGGUUCACUUGACGAUGUUUUUCGAAACUGACAUUUCCAUGAUUGCAUGGAUGCUUUCGGGCUUGCAAUAUCAUAAACAAGCUAAGAUGAAAGAAUAAGGAAGAUGAACUUGAUCUGCAUUAUCUGUCUCUGAGAGUACUCAGGGGCUUCACCCUCAGCCUAAGGACAAACUGUCACUACUCAGAGCAAUCUGAGAUGUGCAUUCAAAUACAUAUAUUUGUAUGGUACCAGAUAGCACCCAGUUCUCCAUGCUCGUUCCAAUCUAUAUGACCUCUAUGGAUUUUUCUUUUUUUGCUUUUCUCCCAGGUCUGCAUCACGUUUUCAGAUCCUAUGAUUAUUUCAUGGUGGCAUUGAUGGAUUCGGCAAGUAAAACUACUAGACCCACAGUUACAUCUAAAAAGCAGAAAGACAGCUACUAACUCUGUAGUAUAAAGUAUUUGGGGGCUAGGUGCAGCAGCCCAUGCCUGUAAUCCCAGCACUUUGUGGGGCCGAGGUGGGCAGAUCACAAGGUCAGGAGAUUGAGACCAUCCUAGCUAACACAGUGAAAUCCCGCCUCUACUAAAAAUACAAAAAAAAAAAAAAAAAAAAAAAA